AUGGGAAUUCAUUUCUCUCUUUCAACAUGGGACAAAAUUAACAAAAUCUCUAUCCUCCCCUAAAUGAUUCCUGUGUCUCCAACUGUCUACUGAGGGGUAUCCAGACGACACAGCAAGUGACAUCCCAAAGUAAUCUCUCUCACACAGACACUUUCUCACUCCUUAUUGUAGCCAUUCCUGCACACAAACACACUUGUGAAAAGGGCAUGUUUUGUAAGUUAUCUCAGAUCAUCUGGCAGGAUUUAAGCUCUAAGCUGGCAUUUUAUUUGCCUUGCUCUAGUUGGAAAUCCCUGACAUCAGCCCUGCUUUCACAUAAGGAGUCAGGCUGUACUGCUUUCUCUUGUUCUUUGAUGAAUCCUGUUAGGCAAAUGCUUACAGAGUCCACCCAAUGAAGUGUCAAAGGGAGUACAAUGUCAGCAACAGCAAGAUUGAGGGGAUGCAGGGAAAAUUCUUGUCUGCAAUAAAUAAGAGUGAGAGCACCAGCAAAUUGGAACAUCCAACCUCUGGAACAUCUUAUCUCUAUUGAGCCUGUGCUGCAUUAUCUAACACUGCUUAUCUGCCGCCCUCUUUUUAAAUAAGCACCAGCCCUGCAUUCCCAAUUCCCAUAGCUUUAGCAGCAAAAGAUAGGAUACCCUUGCUGCAGAGGUGACUGAGUUCACUAUUGUUUAAAGCAAGUUCAUUUAUUAGAGAGGUGUCUCUCACAGAAACAGCGGAUAACAAUAUUAGCCCCCUGUGAACCCACUGGGGUAUUGUCUCUUCAAGAUUCAGAUAAAGAUAGGGCAGGCCUGUGGCUAAACACCAGAUUGUUAGCAUUGGUGGCAUUCUCUAAUGGAAUAGGUAGUGAUUGCAGAAUCCAGAUUCCAAAGGACUACUAAGACUUGUUACUUUCUCACUGGAGAACAAUUCUGCUUUUCCAUGAAUAGGGCCUUGUAUUUGAUUUCUAGAAAUUGUUCUGCAGACUGCUUACUCAUUCAGGGAGUGUUGACUGAGCAUGAGAUGUGGCGCUCAAUGUUGGGGAGCCUCGUGAGGAACAGCAACUCUCCCUUGUACCUGUGGUGCAGGGAGAAAGAUGUGGGAGAAAUCAUCAGGCAAGAAAGUGGAGGGAAGCAUGUCCAGACCUAGAGAGCAGAUUGUGUGGACAGAGGUUGAAGAUGGACCCAGCUUUAUCUUCUCCCAAUUUGGAGGGUGAGGCACAUAGUUGGAGUCAGGGGCAAGAUAAGGAUAGUGCCUGUU
rnacentral:lncRNA from 1 species